rnacentral:sRNA from 1 species
UGGGAUUGAUGUCUCCAUAUUUCAAAAGCUACAACGUUCGGACUACUGGGCAUAUCCCAACUGUGACCUGGUCAUCUCGGAGAUAGAGGACAUCUACAUGUUUCAGUGGCCAUUUUGUGGUGAGAUAAAAACAAACUUCAUGGCGAUUGCGGCGUGUAAACUAAAGAGUUAUCUCACCUACAAAAACCCUGAACCAAAUAUAACAGCUAUUUUUCCAGUACUUAUGUAUAAGACAGAGAGAUUUCCCUUGCUGCCUUCAAUGUUAGAAGGAGUCCAACAUUUUGAAGAUCCUUGCGCCUAAGUCAUGAAGACACUGUUUAACUAGACACACUAUUGAGAUUCAUAUUUGUUUUAGGUAUAGAUAUAAAUUCGUUCAUGAAAAAAAAAGAAUAAUAUUAACAAUAACAUUUUUUGACAAUGUAAACAAAAAUAAAAAAUAUUGUCACAUGGUCAUGACCAUUA